rnacentral:rRNA from 1 species
AGUGAACGCUGGCGGCAGGCCUAACACAUGCAAGUCGAACGGCAGCACAGAGGAGCUUGCUCCUUGGGUGGCGAGUGGCGGACGGGUGAGGAAUGCGUCGGAAUCUGCCUUUUUGUGGGGGAUAACGUAGGGAAACUUACGCUAAUACCGCAUACGACCUACGGGUGAAAGUGGGGGACCGCAAGGCCUCACGCAGAAAGAUGAGCCGACGCCGGAUUAGCUAGUUGGCGGGGUAAAGGCCCACCAAGGCGACGAUCCGUAGCUGGUCUGAGAGGAGGAUCAGCCACACUGGGACUGAGACACGGCCCAGACUCCUACGGGAGGCAGCAGUGGGGAAUAUUGGACAAUGGGCGCAAGCCUGAUCCAGCCAUGCCGCGUGUGUGAAGAAGGCCUUCGGGUUGUAAAGCACUUUUGUCCGGAAAGAAAUCCUUUCGAUUAAUACUCGGGAGGGAUGACGGUACCGGAAGAAUAAGCACCGGCUAACUUCGUGCCAGCCGCCGCCGUAAUAC